UACGUAGGGGGCAAGCGUUAUCCGGAUUUACUGGGUGUAAAGGGAGCGUAGACGGCGACGUAAGUCUGAAGUGAAAGCCCGGGGCCCAACCCCGGGACUGCUUUGGAAACUGUGUAGCUGGAGUACAGGAGGGGCAGGCGGAAUUCCUGGUGUAGCAGUGAAAUGCGUAGAUAUCAGGAGGAACACCGGCGGCGAAGGCGGCCUGCUGGACUGAAACUGACGUUGAGGCUCGAAAGCGUGGGUAUCGAACA
rnacentral:rRNA from 1 species